rnacentral:lncRNA from 1 species
CAGAUCGUUUCCUCUUGUCCGAAGAACUGAUAGAUGUCGAGUCCUGACAUGACAUGAUUAUGUCUGUAUUCACCAACGUCGUGUACUUAUAUUUUAACAGUAACGGGGUUGUCCAGACUAAAAACAAGGGACAUUCCGAGAUAAUUCUGAUCAGACCAGUGUCUAGACUGACCGUACCUGUACACUGUCUGGCUAUAAAACCUCCUUGCUAUACGCUUUGCUGCUGCAACGCCACAAAAACCUACGGAUCCGUUGCUGCCACGCCGCAUAGAGUAAGGUCUAGGUGCUUGUCCCGGCUUCGCCGAGCCGCCGCCCAUGCUGCCUAUGU